CCCUAGCCCCCUUGCCCAAUGCCCCCCGACCCCCACAGCCGCCGCACGGUCUCGCUCCUCCUUCCCUCCCGCCGCAACCUCUCCUUGAUCGUAGCCACCUCCUUCCCACCUCCGCCCGAGCUCCGCCUUCCUCGCCCGCCUCCUCCUCCUUGCCAUCGGCGGAAGCGGUGAGCAUAGGGGCAGCGGCUGGACGCGAUGAGCUUGCCUCUGGCGGUGCUAGGAAGUUGCACGCAAAGGGUGACCCCAUGGAUCCGUCCCUGAUGAAGAGAGAAUAUGGAGGAAGGAUUGAAGGAUAGGGGGAGGUAGGCGUGCUGGGGCGGGAUGGUCUCACCUGCGAUGACAGGGUUGACCGACCGGAGUUAGAUCGAUAACCCGGCUGGCACGGCUCGGCUCCAACUCCCUCUUCCACCUCUCCGAUACCCGACACUCAAAUCUGGCUCUUCUACACACAUCCGUAGCUAUGGAAAGAAAGCUUGUAGUGGAGUGGCUUCCUUUGUAUGAUCUUGGAAGAUGGUCUAUAUUGUUGACUAUGGACUUCAGACCGUUUCUAUUUUCCUCCGUGAACCUACCACUGAUGUUUUGGAGGUGCUUGCUUUGUGUGGAUGACCUCUGAAGCCCAUUAGAAAGCAUGGAAACGGCUAAAGGUUAGCGCAUUUUGAGAAGACAACAGAUCGCCGCCUACUUCCUUAGGCUGACAAUCACCUGCAGGAUAAAGUGCGAUGUUUUGCCUGAGGGGCUGGAGCAGGACCGCAGGAUGAGACAAGAUCAAGGACUGGGCCAACGAGGUCGUCACGCACGAACCAGUGUAGCCCAUUGGCACUGGUAAAGUAGUAUCGGCGGCUCAGGGACAUGAAGUUUCUCAAAACUAACAAAUGCUGCUCUCUGAUAAAUUAGGAGGCUGAAGAUGGUAGCUUACUGAACUCUCAUUUUGGGAAAAAUCUGGAGAUGUGUAGUGCUGAUAAAGAAAUGCAGGUAUGUAUGAGUCUGAUGUUUGCAUCUUGUGACGCUCACAUGCUCGUGCAGCUGCUAUCUGGAUUUGCCACCACCGCCUCAAGUCGCUUCCGCCUGUAAAUCGAGUCACCACCAUGGUAAUUUCUUUUCAGUCCCAACUCUCCUCCUGUCCCCCGCAUUUGCUUGCUACGAGUUCCUUUUGUGUGUGUGCUUGUUGGCUUAGUGACGUGUGUGUUCAGGCACGCAUUGUCUUUGCCUGCCAGGGUGUUGGCUCUGCUACUUGGCCGGUUACAGCGAGUAGGAAGCUGAUAGGAUGGUAUUUCUCCUUCGUCGGCCAAGGAGUUCACACAUCUCUCGGUUCUCUGGGCAUGUCACCAUGGACAAGCAGAGUGGGAGGACACUCUUCUACUGGUUCUUGGAGGCUCAGGCACAGCGUCUCCUUCUCUAGCUCAAUUGGGAUUUCUUACUUACCUCAUUCUCUUGUUUUUCAUUUUUUUACUUAGUCACUCAUUUCUGGAAAGAUUUUGUAGCUAUUAUCUUGAGCUGCUUGUAGUUCAAUAAUGUUUCGGUUGCUACUUGGGGUGCAUACCUGAGAAUACACAUUAUUUUUCAGUUCAAUGCGCAAUAGAUAGCUUUUGGUUGUCGCCAUUAGGACACAAAAGUACUAGAUUUCGAAGUUUUUAAUAGCUCAAAUAUGCUAAUUGCAGAGCAACAUGGCAGUUACAAUGGUUCCAUGUCCUAAUUAGUUCUUUUAUUUCGUUUUGCAGGCGUAUUAUCUUGGAGGUUGUUUCUUAUUUUUACUAUAGAUCAAGUUUCUUUGUUUCCUUUCUAGCUACCUCUGCUGCAUUUUUUUAUAUAUCUUAUAUGCUUUAAAUAUCCUAUAUGCUGUCAUGAUCCUUGCUUCAGUCAUCAUGUUGAUUUUCCAAAUUUGGUUGGGUGUUGUGUUUUUUUGGCCCUUGUGCGCUUUGAUCGAUGUGCUCUGGCUUUGUGACUCUAAUGAUGCACAUGCAAUGGCGGCAUGGGUGGAACGAGAGGAAGGAUGGGAAUCAGCUACUUGCAUUCGCACGGAGGAGGCAACGUCGACUCGAUGGCAUAGUAGAGGAGGCUGGGCUCGUUGUGGAGCUUCUUGAGGCAGCAGGACGUCGGCGAGAGCAUCGCUGCUGGCAACGGCUCGAGUGACCUCUUGAGUAUUUUCUCCAUGAGCACUUGGGACGACACCAACUCCAACAUCAUGUUCUCAGCGCCCGACAGCAAGAAGGCCGAGGUGCUCAGCGACAGCGAUGUCGGCAUGGUCACCAGCUUCUGCAACAUCGACUCCCAGAUUCAGUUAGCCCUCUCGAGCUGGACAUGCCCAGCAUGGAUGACUACAUUCAGCUGCAGCAGGACUCCGCCGACUACAGAGUCCAUGCCAAGCGUGGCUGCACCACUGACCCGCAGAGCAUCGCUUGGGAGGGAAAGAACAACAAGGAUCAAUAAGAGGUUAAGGAGGUUGCAAAGACCUCAUUCCCUACAUGGACAAGGUCACAAGGCCAAUACACAUUCAGGAAAUAUGUGACCAACUUCCCCAAGGUCCCGCAUCGUCUACUCAGGUUAAUUCUCGGUCUACAACCUCCAAAACCUGCAGUUCUAUUUUUAAAAAUGCUUAAGCACCCAUUUCUCUAAGCGUCAGCCUGUCGCUUCGCUUAUGCUUCAUGCUUUCCUGAACAUUGAUUUCUAUCAAACUUGUUUUUUAAGUUUUCAUGCUGAUUACUGAUUGUGGGAGCUGAAUUGUGCUCCGAUGGAAGUGUUAGAGUGUAUCAUUUUUGUAAGCAUAAUCUAUAUCCAUUCCUAUUGGGAACAUACCCAUGUAAGUAUUUGUAAGAAUCCUCUAGGAGCAUGCUACUAGGACUUAUGUAGAUUGGCUAUUCUAGACAUUGGCAUGAGAAUGGUCUGCAUCCUAUAUAUGGUCUUAGUGCGUGUAAAAAAGCACGUGUUAAAUAACUGUCAAGCACAACGGUUUCUAACCAA